rnacentral:RNase_P_RNA from 1 species
AGAGUUGGCCGGGCAGUCGCUGUGGUGGUGCGCAAGCACUGUCAUGGAGGAAAGUCCGGGCUCCACAGGGUAGAGUGCCAGGUAACGCCUGGGAGGCGCGAGCCUACGGAAAGUGCAGCAGAAAGCAAACCGCCUAAGCGCGCAAGCGCCGGUAAGGGUGAAAAGGUGCGGU